GGAUCAUUACCGAGUUAUACAACUCAUCAACCCUGUGAACAUACCUAUAACGUUGCCUCGGCGGGAACAGACGGCCCCGUAACACGGGCCGCCCCCGCCAGAGGACCCCCUAACUCUGUUUCUAUAAUGUUUCUUCUGAGUAAACAAGCAAAUAAAUUAAAACUUUCAACAACGGAUCUCUUGGCUCUGGCAUCGAUGAAGAACGCAGCGAAAUGCGAUAAGUAAUGUGAAUUGCAGAAUUCAGUGAAUCAUCGAAUCUUUGAACGCACAUUGCGCCCGCCAGUAUUCUGGCGGGCAUGCCUGUUCGAGCGUCAUUACAACCCUCAGGCCCCCGGGCCUGGCGUUGGGGAUCGGCGGAAGCCCCCUGCGGGCACAACGCCGUCCCCCAAAUACAGUGGCGGUCCCGCCGCAGCUUCCAUUGCGUAGUAGCUAACACCUCGCAACUGGAGAGCGGCGCGGCCACGCCGUAAAACACCCAACUUCUGAAUGUUGACCUCGAAUCAGGUAGGAAUACCCGCUGAACUUAAGCAUAU
rnacentral:rRNA from 1 species